UUGCGCCUGCGAAGGAGGCAGCAGGGCCCUUUGACGAGCGCCUUGCAGGCGGCCUGGCCCUGUACCCGUCCCGUGAUCAGCAAUUUUGCUGAUUCAAACUC
rnacentral:sRNA from 1 species